rnacentral:misc_RNA from 1 species
UCCUUGUCGAUUUCAAUCGUCGUCCAGAUGCUUUUGGCAUUGGGAUGAUUAAUCGUCAUGGAGCGCUCCUGCGUUCCGCCGCAGCAUAUCACAGCCGCGGCGGUNGCCGUGGUCCUUACGGGGGGGCCCGCCCGGCGGCGGACGCCGGGCCGCCGAUGGCCUGAAGCCUGCCCCUUUACGGAAAUAUCACGCCGUUCUUGAUCAUCCACAUNNNNGCGUCACCACGGACACGAACGUGCCGAUCAGCACCAGCGUCGACGCGGGUUCGAUCCAGGUGUCGUACUGACGCGCGAUCA